GGGGUUUGGGGGGCACCGAGCUGGAGCCAGCUACCACCCCGGGCACAGGACCGUUUAGAGGUGAGCUCCCACGGGAACUCCGAGGCUUCCAGACGGUACCCGCUGGUUGCUGGGUUUUGUUUUCUGACAUAAGUCGUAGAACAUGAGCCGUACCCUUAGCACCUUGCUGGUAAAUCAAAGGUGUGUGUAGUCCUGGUUUAAGAAUAACAUGUAUUGACUGCAAGAAUAUAAAAUCCUUCUCCGCCUCAUAAACAAGGCUCCAUUUCAAACGCUUUUCUUCCUGCACACCUUUCAGAACCAGUUUGGAUCAACCACAGGACUUGCAGAGACAAGUUUCACAAACACUGUAUGAGGGGAGCAGAGCCCCCUUUGCUCUUGACUGCGCUCUGACCGUGCAGCCAUCACAGGCCUGUAAGAGACCCUCCAGCCCUGCCUACGCUUUCAGGGCACCCGUCACAAAGAACUGUAGCCCAGUAAAGACGAGAGGGGCCGAGACACCGCGGCGUGAGGCGCCAGCACGACACAGAAAAGGGCUUCACGCAGCUCCCAGAUCCGGGCGCCUUCUCUUCUUUAUAAUGUGUGUAGCUGCUCAAAUAAACAACCACAACAUUA